rnacentral:rRNA from 1 species
UGGGGAAUAUUGCGCAAUGGGGGGAACCCUGACGCAGCCAUGCCGCGUGAAUGAAGAAGGCCUUAGGGUUGUAAAGUUCUUUCGGUAUUGAGGAAGGUUGAUGUGUUAAUAGCACAUCAAAUUGACGUUAAAUACAGAAGAAGCACCGGCUAACUCCGUGCCAGCAGCCGCGGUAAUACGGAGGGUGCGAGCGUUAAUCGGAAUAACUGGGCGUAAAGGGCACGCAGGCGGUUAUUUAAGUGAGGUGUGAAAGCCCCGGGCUUAACCUGGGAAUUGCAUUUCAGACUGGGUAACUAGAGUACUUUAGGGAGGGGUAGAAUUCCACAUGUAGCGGUGAAAUGCGUAGAGAUGUGGAGGAAUACCGAAGGCGAAGGCAGCCCCUUGGGAAUGUACUGACGCUCAUGUGCGAAAGCGUGGGGAGCAAACAGGAUUAGAUACCCUGGUAGUCCACGCUGUAAACGCUGUCGAUUUGGGGGUUGGGGUUUAACUCUGGCGCCCGUAGCUAACGUGAUAAAUCGACCGCCUGGGGAGUAUGGCCGCAAGGUUA